AUCCAGUUGGUGCGGUCCAUGGCGAGCACAUCAUGGCGAUUGAAGGUGGAGAAAGAACCUGUGGAGUACAUGAACUUAUUUGUAUUAGAAAAGUCUCUCCAGAGGCAGUUGGAUUUUUGUCAGCUGUUGGGGUGUUUAUUAUCUUGAUGCUGCUCCUUUUUCUCUAUAUUAAUAAGAAGUUCUGUUUUGAAAAUGUUGGCGGGUUUCCAGAUCUUGGUUCAGGAUACAGUACAAGGAAGAACUCACAAGAUAAAAUUUAUAAUUCCUACAUGGAUAAAGAUGAGCAUGGUUCAUCCUCUGAAAGUGAAGAUGAAGCACUGGGUAAAUAUCACGAGGCCUUGUGCAGAACCCACAAUUCCAGACUACCAUUGGCAGAUUCGAGACAAAAGAACUAUGCUUGGGAAACGAGACAAAAAUACAGCCCUCUGUCUGCGGAGUAUGAUGGCUACAGUAGCGAAGCAUCGAUAGAUGAAGGAAACUGCAUUCAGAGAAUGAGAAGAACACCCCCACUGGAUGAAUUGCAGCCACCACCAUAUCAGGAUGACAGUGGUUCUCCCCAUCUCUCAUGUACGCCCUCAGAAAUUGGGGACAGUAAAUGUGAAUUUUCCCACUGCAGCAACAGUCCAAGAUGCUCAUAUAACAAGUGCCCAAGUGAAGGAAGCAUAGGUCGUGAAAUAGAAAGUUUUCCUAAUAAAGGAUAUGAAGAAGAUGUUCCAAGCGACAGCACCGCAGUCCUGAGCCCGGAAGAUAUGUCAGCUCAAGGAUCAUCGUCACAGCUUCCUAAACCUUUUGAUCCUGAGCCAGAAGCUAAAUACGGCACACUGGAUGUGACUUUUGACUAUGACUCCCAAGAACAGAAGCUUCUGGUAACAGUGACGGCUGUCACAGAUAUCCCAACACAUAACAGGACAGGUGGCAACUCAUGGCAAGUACACCUUGUUCUUCUACCUAUAAAGAAACAGAGAGCAAAAACCAGCAUCCAGAGAGGACCAUGCCCUGUCUUCACAGAAACAUUCAAAUUUAAUCACGUUGAAUCUGAGAUGAUUGGAAAUUAUGCAGUUCGGUUUAGACUAUAUGGUGUACAUCGCAUGAAAAAAGAAAAGAUUGUGGGGGAAAAGAUUUUUUAUUUAACAAAAUUGAAUCUUCAAGGGAAAAUGUCAUUACCUGUGAUAUUGGAGCCUUCUUACAAUCAUUCUGGCUGUGACUCCCAAAUGAGUGUGUCAGAAAUGUCCUGUAGUGAAAGUACAUCCUCAUGUCAGUCUCUUGAACAUGGCUCGGUUCCAGAAAUUCUCAUUGGCCUGCUUUAUAAUGCCACAACUGGAAGACUAUCAGCAGAAGUGAUAAAAGGCAGCCACUUCAAAAACUUGGCAGCAAACAGACCACCCAAUGGACUGUUCUGUUGUCUAAAACACUUGAUAGGUGGACAGGUUUAUAUAAUCCGAGAUACGUAUGUUAAAUUAACUCUCCUGAAUUCCAUGGGUCAAGAGAUGUCCAAAUGCAAGACAUCCAUCCGCAGAGGGCAGCCUAAUCCAGUAUACAAGGAAACUUUUGUUUUUCAAGUGGCCCUAUUUCAACUUUCUGAUGUGACACUCAUACUGUCUGUGUAUAACAAACGCAGCAUGAAAAGAAAAGAGAUGAUAGGCUGGAUUUCUUUAGGUCUGAACAGCUCUGGAGAAGAGGAGCUCAAUCACUGGACUGAAAUGAAAGAGUCGAAAGGACAGCAAGUGUGUAGAUGGCAUGCGUUACUAGAGUCAUGAUGAAUAGGGCAACCAAGCAAUUACAAUCCAAGGCAGCAUUAUCUCUGAUUGCAGCAUCACUGUUUUUACCUAGUCACCAUUAGAAGAGCUGUUCUUUGAAGCAUCAUCCUCAACAUUCUACCAGAAUGCGUUAAGGUCUGCGGAAAGAGCGUCUAAUACUGACACAAAUGAAGAAAAGAUGUGUCUCUGGUAGAGCUUGUUUGGGAAAUGAGACACUUGCAUCAUCAUUGUUAACAGUCCUCCAGAGCUUUAAGAACAUACUUUUGGUUUGAAGUUAAGUUUACUUUGGCAAAAGAGCCAGUAAUUUCAUGGAAAAAAAAAAAUCAAAACUAUAAGUGAUUUUUUUAAAUCAGAAUUUUUAGUUGCAACACUGUUUUAGGAUCACCCUACAUGUUAACCAGGAAACACGUAUUUUGACUGGCCCAUCCCUGGUGUUGGCAAUGUUCUUUAAGCUGAAAAAGUAGGUCUCCAGCUCUAUCAUGAGGCAUAUCUAAUGGUGAAGGAUUUCAAUUACAUAGAAAAUUGUCUUAUUUCAGAAAUUUUCCCUUUGUGCACUUAGUUUCAUUGUGCCUCAUUCUUCUCAAUAGCACUCAAUCUCAAGUGCAAGCACGUAUUCAUUUUCAUAAAGGAAUUUUUCUAUAUGUUAUUUAGAAAAGCCCAACAACUCAUUUCUUCAUUUGCCUCUGCUUUUGCCUGAUCCAAAGAGACCCAGUCACUGGACUGGUCCUUUGCAAGAGUCUCUUAGACAGGUUGUACUGUAGAACUACGUAACUUUCUGUUGAAAGCACUUCCUGUAUUCUUGUAUUCCAAUGUAGGAAGCUAAUAGAGCAGGACUUUACUUUCAAAUCCUUUCAACAACUGACUCUUUAAAAUUGUAGUAAUGUGAAGAUACGUUUUUUUUACAAACUAAAAAAAAAAAUAGAGUAGAUAAGCUGUUGAAAAUUGAAAACCGUUCAAGUUAAAGAAAAUGUUAAUUGUCUGCUCUGAGAAUGGAAUGACCAACACUGCAUAAAGCAGGGAUAGUUCCAAUAAGAAACUGUUCUCUCUCUAAAUCUUCUUCAGUCUUACUUCGAUUUGUACUUGUGAUCUAAAGACUCUCCAGUUCUCAGUUUGAAUCAGAACAUCAUGUUAAAAACAGUUCUGAGAUUCCUUAUGAAAUUUCUAGUGACCUGUGACUAGAUUUUAUGGAACUUACAGAUACGUUCUUCAACGUGACGUCAUUCUGUGCCUUUCAUUUGCAAGAAAAACAGUUAGGACAACAUUGUAUUCAUCAGUAAUCCCAUCCACCUAAUGGAAUGGCAGAACUAGAAAAAAAGAAGGAAAAAUGAGAGCUUGGGAAAGAGAAACACAAGACAAAGAAGAUCAGAGAUUUUUUUUCCCUCAGGAUACAAAUGGUACUUCUGUGUAAUAUUGUGUAGAUGACUUUUGAUUUCCAGAGACUUGGAAACUAAUUUACUCUACAAAUUUAACCUAUACUUAUAUUCUGAAAAUAUGUUAAUCAAUUGGUUCUGCUCCUUAUCUACUUUUGGGAAUCCAAGAUGUUUUAAUUGUAUAUGAUCGCCUUUCUAUGAAGUAGAUAUCCUGUAUCCUUUAGCAGGUAUCUUGCCCAUAUCAGUGCUGAGAGAAAUGACCCUUUCUUCCUCUGUGCUCUCAUUGUAAUUUAUUUGUUUCUUACAUACCCUUUAUUAAGGUA